rfam:Vibrio sp. CECT 9027 strain CECT 9027T genome assembly, contig: 0010
GGGCAGGAUGUGUGAAGUAGGCCCACCAUGCAAGCAUGGCGAAGCCUCUUCACUUAUGACUUAUUCGCACCUUCGGCACUCAACGUUGAUCCUGCCCUGCGGGGCC